UUCUGAAAAUUGAAAAACGUA
rnacentral:piRNA from 1 species